UAUUGCACAAUGGGGGAAACCCUGCUGCAGCGACGCCGCGUGAGUGAAGAAGCAUUUCGGUAUGUAAAGCUCUAUCAGCAGGGAAGAUAAUGACGGUACCUGACUAAGAAGCCCCCGCUAACUACGCGCCAGCAGCCGCGGUAAUACGUAGGGGGCAAGCGUUACCCGGACUUACUGGGUGUAAAGGGAGCGUAGGUGGCAAGGCAAGUCAGAUGUGAAAACCCGGGGCUCAACCCCGGGAGUGCAUUUGAAACUGUCCAGCUGGAGUGCAGGAGAGGUAAGCGGAAUUCCUAGUGUAGCGGUGAAAUGCAUAGAUAUUAGGAGGAACACCAGUGGCGAAGGCGGCUUACUGGACUGUAACUGACGCUGAGGUUCGAAAGCGUGGGUAGCAAACAGG
rnacentral:rRNA from 1 species